UACAGGGGGGGCAAGCGUUGUUCGGAAUUACUGGGCGUAAAGGGCGCGUAGGCGGCCUCUUAAGUCGAACGUGAAAUCCCCGGGCUCAACCCGGGAACUGCGUCCGAUACUGGGAGGCUUGAAUCCGGGAGAGGGAUGUGGAAUUCCAGGUGUAGCGGUGAAAUGCGUAGAUAUCUGGAGGAACACCGGUGGCGAAGGCGGCAUCCUGGACCGGUAUUGACGCUGAGGCGCGAAAGCUAGGGGAGCAAACGGG
rnacentral:rRNA from 1 species